ACCCUGGAAAGGGAAGAGAAGAAAGAAAACAGUGGAGCAAUCAGAUCAGACAGAUGUGUAAAGGCAUCAUUCCAGCAGGGACUGGCAAACAAUAUUUCCUUUUAUCUAUGCCCACAUGGCUACAGGUCCACGUAUGCUCAGAUUCUCUUCUGCCUCUGCCGCCCCUGAGACAGCAAGACCAACCCCUUCUCCUCCUCUUCCUCCUCCUCAGCCUACUCAACGUGAAGAGGAUGAGAAUGACGACCUUUAUGAUGACCCACAUCCACUUAAUGAACAGUAAAUAUAUUUUCUCUUUCCUAUGA